rnacentral:lncRNA from 1 species
CCUGUUCAAUCACUUUUUGGGUUUGUUUAAUUUGGGAAUUUGGGUUUGUUUCGUAGACGUUGAAACAAUUCCAAAUUUUAAAUAAAUUUGGUUAGACAAGGUUGAAACAAUCUCAGCUCAAGACGAGAACAAAGAAAGUAAGAAAAUUGAGAUAAUUAGGUAACAUUAUGUGGUGCUGUGUGCUAAGAGGUGAUCGAAAAUGGUGUCAAAGAGAAAAUAGUGUAGCAGAAGAAUACUUCUAACUUGAAAGAAAAAAGCUUUAAAUGAAAGAGAUGAAGAAUUAUUAUUUUAAAAAAAUUAUAUUAAUAAAAUAAUUUAAGUGUGGAUUUUUUAAUUAAAAAAAUUAAAAUAUUAUUUGCUCUUCAACUCAUGCGCUUAAGAAAAGUGUAACACACUUUUCUUGCCGAAUCAGUAUUUUAUGUCUGAUAAGUAUCAAUUUUAAGCAAUUGAGAUGUCUGAUUGGUACAAGUCUGAGAUGAGGGGUACAAGUGAAAUUUCGAAACAAGUUUAAGGGUCUAUCGAUUACUUAAGCAUUACUUAUUCUCUUCUUCUACCUUUAUUUAAAUUAAUUAACUAUGACAUGUAUAUAUUGACUUGGUGUACGCACCCAAUUCAGGUAAACUUUUUGCCCCUUAUUAUUAAAUCGGGUAAUCACUACCAUCCACUGCUUUGGUAUAGAAUAACUCUAUCCACUAAAGUUUAGGAAUAUGAGAAGAAUCAUCUAAUAUUUUCUCGCUUCAUUGAGAUUUAAUUUGAACUAAUAAUCACAUGUUUUUUCUCCUCUUGCCACUAAGAAUGAAAAAGGAAUUAACGGUGAAAUUCAGCACUUAACUAUUGCUAAAUAACCCA